CCUAGAAGGAAGAGGCGGCUACCGCGGUGGCGGCGGCGGCGGCUCUGGCGGCAGCGCAUAAAGGGGCCGCCGCCGGGUGAUGCGGUGACCCCUGCGGCAGGCUCAGGAGCCCAGUGGGCCACGGGCUCAAGUCCGUCCCGCCGGACUCGCGCUCCGGAACUCCCCAUCUUCUCCGUCCGACCCGCGAUCACCGAGGCGGCCUCGCGCCCCCUCAUCCUUUCCCCGUCCCUCCCCUGCCCCUGUUUCCGCCCCGGGGGCCGCCUCCACCUGCCUCGCACGAUGACUCUGAAGAGAAUCCACAAGGAAUUGAACGACCUGGCGCGGGACGCCCCAGCACAGUGUUCAGCAGGUCCCGUUGGAGAUGAUAUGUUCCAUUGGCAAGCUACAAUAAUGGGGCCAAGUGACAGUCCCUAUCAAGGUGGAGUAUUUUUCUUGACAAUUCAUUUCCCAACAGAUUACCCCUUCAAACCACCUAAGGCUGCAUUUACAACAAGAAUUUAUCAUACAAAUAUUAACAGUAAUGGCAGCAUUUGUCUUGAUAUUCUAUGGUCACAGUGGUCUUCAGCACUAACUAUUUCAAAAGUACUUUUGUCCAUCUGUUGUCUGUUGUGUGAUCCCAAUCCAGAUGAUUCUUUAGUGCCUGAGAUUGCUCGGAUCUACAAAACAGAUAAAGUACAACAGAGUAACUUGGGAAUGGACUCAGAAGUAUGCGAUGUAAUUAAAGAAAUUAUUGGAUAACCUCUACAAAUAAAGAUAG